CCUACGGGUGGCAGCAGUGGGGAAUCUUGCACAAUGGGGGAAACCCUGAUGCAGCGACGCCGCGUGAAGGAAGAAGUAUUUCGGUAUGUAAACUUCUAUUAGCAGGGAAGAAAAUGACGGUACCUGACUAAGAAGCCUCGGCUAACUACGUGCCAGCAGCCGCGGUCAUACGUAGGGGGCAAGCGUUAUCCGGAUUUACUGGGUGUAAAGGGAGCGGUGGGGGUUAAGCAAGAUAGAAGUGAAAGCCUGGGGCUAAACUCCGGGACUGCUUUUGAAACUGUUGAACUAGAUUGCAGGAGAGGUAACUGGAAUUCCUAGUGUAGCGGUGAAAUGCGUAGAUAUCACGAAGAACUCCGAUUGCGAAGGCAGCUUACUAAACUGCCACUGACAUUGAUGCUCGAAAGUGUAGGUAGCAAACAGGAUUAGAUACCCUGGUAGUC
rnacentral:rRNA from 1 species